rnacentral:lncRNA from 1 species
GGUAUGGCCGAGCUCGUCUCUUUUAUCCUAGCUCUCUUCGCCGACCCCAAAAUCAUGGUGCCUUUUCUCUUAUGGGUCUUGAGACCCUGGGCUAACCUCCGAGCCACGCCUGUGUCUAUGUCUGCAAUAAAAGAAGAUCGACCCGGCUCAGAAAUAAAAUAAGAGAAAGGGGAAGCAAAAAAAAAAUUAUAAUAUAUAUAAUAAUGAUAGUACCGGCAGGGUCAAGAGGGCUCAGACCGACGUUGAACAAGAGUUGUUCCUUCAGAAGUUCAGAGAGGAGGGGGGC